rnacentral:rRNA from 1 species
AAUGGACGCAAGUCUGACGGAGCAACGCCGCGUGAGUGACGAAGGUUUUCGGAUCGUAAAACUCUGUUGUGAGGGAAGAACAAGUACCAAGUAACUACUGGUACCUUGACGGUACCUCACCAGAAAGCCACGGCUAACUACGUGCCAGCAGCCGCGGUAAUACGUAGGUGGCAAGCGUUGUCCGGAAUUAUUGGGCGUAAAGCGCGCGCAGGCGGUCCCUUAAGUCUGAUGUGAAAGCCCACGGCUCAACCGUGGAGGGUCAUUGGAAACUGGGGGACUUGAGUGCAGAAGAGGAAAGUGGAAUUCCAUGUGUAGCGGUGAAAUGCGUAGAUAUAUGGAGGAACACCGGUGGCGAAAGCGGCUCUCUGGCCUGUAACUGACACUGAGGCUCGAAAGCGUGGGGAGCCGUCGACGCGGCCG